rnacentral:rRNA from 1 species
UGGGGAAUAUUGGACAAUGGGCGCAAGCCUGAUCCAGCAAUGCCGCGUGAGUGAUGAAGGCCUUAGGGUUGUAAAGCUCUUUCGCCCGCGACGAUGAUGACGGUAGCGGGAGAAGAAGCCCCGGCUAACUUCGUGCCAGCAGCCGCGGUAAUACGAAGGGGGCGAGCGUUGUUCGGAUUUACUGGGCGUAAAGGGCGCGUAGGCGGCCCUCUUUGUCGCGUGUGAAAGCCCCGGGCUCAACCUGGGAAUUGCGCGCGAAACGGGGGGGCUGGAGUUCGGGAGAGGAGCGUGGAAUUCCCAGUGUAGAGGUGAAAUUCGUAGAUAUUGGGAAGAACACCGGUGGCGAAGGCGGCGCUCUGGACCGAGACUGACGCUGAGGCGCGAAAGCGUGGGGAGCAAACAGGAUUAGAUACCCUGGUAGUCCACGCCGUAAACGGUGGAUGCUUGGUGUGGCCGGUACCCAAUCCGGCUGUGCCGAAGCUAACGCGAUAAGCAUCCCGCCUGGGGAGUACGGUCGCAAGGCUG